rnacentral:tRNA from 1 species
GCCUUCGUGAUGUAAUGGUCAGCACACUCGGCGCGUAUCGAGAGGUCUGCGGUUCAAAUCCCAGCGAGGGCA